UACCCAGGGCGGUGCCCCAGCCACAGCACCAGCCCCUCCGGGCGGAGAACAACAAGGUCUAUUGGUCUAUGUAAUGCUGGUGCCAAACAAUAAGAAAAACCAACAAAACACUGACCUUGGUCCACAGACAACACCCACGUCCACGUGGUGGGUGGGACUGGCUCCGUCAGAGGAUGGGAAGAUGAGAAGUGCUUGUCGCAGGCCUGGAGAUGGGGACCACCCAGGCAUGCAGGGGAUGCUGCCUCUCCUCCAUCCAACAACAAGCCUGCGUGUGCCCAGCCCCCUCUGGUACACGCAUUGCUCCCCAUCCUCGGCAUUGAUCAAUUGAAAAUAAGACCUUGGAAGAACCCCUUGCAAAGCUGACAUUGUACGAGCCAAGGCAGUGGCCCCGGAGAGGGUCAGCGAGGGGCCUCCACUGUCUGAGUCCGCUCCUGGCAACGCCUGCUCUCUGCACUCAGAGGCCCGGUCCCGGCAGCUGCCACGUUGCUCAGAAGUUCUGGCAGGGGGAGCCUGAAACCCCUGUCUGCUGGCGACACUCCCGGAGCAGCAGGAAAUCUCUACAUUUUAUUUUUUUUCUUAACAGACAAAAGUAUUUGACUCCAGAAUGAUUUCCAGGAAUUACAGUAUGAGAACUUAGUCUUUGAGAUUUUUAUUUUCUUCUUAAAAAAAUAAAAAUGAAAUCAAAGCAGAAGACACUGGUUGAGCAGACAGCACACUAGCACAUUCCACUUCGCAACAAAACCUGCGUGUUUUCUGCCCGGUCUACCUCAGACAGGGAUGGUGGGCUUCAUAGCCUUUCCUGUGGAAGGAGUUCAGGGCGGGAGGGAAGUGCUGGGGUAGGAGGGGCAGGCAGAACCUGGAAACUGCGCCCCAUUCUUUCUUCUCGGAACUCCAUUGCCAGAGGGCUUGGAGUGCUUCUCGGCGAUUUGGCAUCUGCUUCUCCUCUGCCCCUCAUUCAGAGUUCUCAUUGCAAGAAAAGCAGGGAAAAGGUUCAAAAAACCCUUCAGACUUGGAGCCGUUCCUCGGUGAUAAUUGAACCACCAGAGGUGCUGGCAGGGCCAUGGCGAGAGGCACCUCUAGGAAAUCUCACACAACCCACACUGCUCCCCUCUCCUGCAUGGCAGUGACCCUCCCAUAAAAGGGUACAGCCUGUUGUGCCAGCUUUGCAACUGGGAUCAUUGCAGUCUCUGGCUUUUUGACUCCAGGCGGGCUCCGUGCCCUCCGGGGCCUCUUCUUCCUUGUCAGGCCAGUGGGAGCCACAGAGGCCUCAUUGGCUUCCUAUGAAUAUUAAAUGGGAUUCUCUGUGGGGGAAGCUUCCAUAAGGCAGGAAGGGGUCCCCGGUUGUUGGCUAUUAGUGUUAUUUUCUUUUAAAUCAUCUGUGCUCCUUCAAAGACGACGUAAGAAGCUUGUGCCCUGGCGUUGCAGAAAUCUCUGGCUGUAGGGAUUAAACCUACAUGUCUUCCUGAUGGGGUGGUGAGGACGUAAACGGUGAAUAGUGCCAGCCACAGGGAGCAUUGCAGAGAGUAACCAAGUGUGUGAUAAACAUGCUGUCAUAUGUGUGUAAACGGCCAAGAGACCACUGCUUUUGCCUGAGUGACCUCCGCAAGGACACAGAAAUAAAACAUACAAAAAAGUUGGCACUGAGUGGUCUAGAAUCUUCCAUCUCUGUUUUUUCUUGGUAGAAACUAGCCUCAAAGAAAACAUGUGCUUCAGGUUGACAAGAUCUCCAGUCUACCAAGCCUAUCUGUCCCUGAGAAUUGGUUAUCUAUUGCAGCAUAACCAUUCACCUCCAACUUUAGCUGAUUAAACAACCCUUUCUCAUCUCACACAGUUUCUGGGCUCAGAAGUUGAGAAGCAGCCUAGCUGGCUGACUAGCUGGCUGAGGCUCAGGGGGUCCCUUGGGUCUGCAGUUAUCUGAAGACUGGAUGGGACUGGAGGUGAGGCUUCCAAGCACACUCCUGCGGCCAUCAGAAACCUCAGCUUCCCAAGUGAGUGAUCCAGGAGGGCAAGGAUUUGCCUGGCAGGAAGCUGCGGCCACUUGUGGCCUGGUCUCAGAAGCCCACACCCCCCUUUUGCCAUAUUCUGAGCACACAGACCCCAGCAUGAGGCAGGCAGGCUGGAGCAGGGAGAGCCACAGCAGGCCAGGACCUGGGAAGACUGUCUUGGACGCCGGCCGUCACUCCCAGAUAGCACUAUGUGGCUGAUUGCAUCAAACGACCAUCCAUGCCUUUCCUGCUUCAAGGAUGUGAAUCACAAGCCUGGUGAGGAGCCUCUGAAAUGCACGAGGGAGGGGUGUGUGUACAGCACCCUGGGAGCCUGUUACCAACAAAGGAAAAUGAACCACGGAUGCCAGGUCAUUCCCAACAGCAGAUAGACAUGUGAUUUCAC
rnacentral:lncRNA from 1 species